rnacentral:lncRNA from 1 species
CAGACACCUCGGUAGCUUUCUAGCAAACAUAGCUACAACAUUCACGCUCUUUACACUGGUUUGGUGUAUAUUUGUCGCUGUGUAUUAAACACACUUCUGUCGUAUGUACUUGUUGGCCCAUUUAAUGAUAUAUUUACGUUGUUUGUCAGCUAGCUGGUUUGCUAAAUUAGCUUAGAACUAAGCUAGUCGCUAAUGCCAGCUAGCUAACAUACUGACCAUGAGUUCACGAAGCUACUCUCCUCCUGCUAAAGAAGCGGAGGUCUGCUGGACGGAGAAAGAAGCUCUAGUGAAAGAGGAGGAGGAAGAGGAGGCUGUUACAAUACAAAAACAAGUAGAGGGUGAAGCUGUUAGCGUGAAAGAAGAAGAGAAAGACGUUACAGUGAAAGAAGAGAAAGACGCGUUCAGAGUGAAAGAGGAGGAGGAUGUUACUGUAAAAGAAGAGGCGGCAGAGAAAGAGGAGGAUUCCGUUUUUGGAGUGAAAGGGGAGGAGGGGGAGAUGACUGUCACAUUGGAGGAAGAAGAGGAGGUUGGAGAUCUGUUUAACACCAGAGAGAUAUGGGACUAUCGUGGAUCCUCUGGGGAGCCUCAACAACCUCAUGAUGCUGAAGAGGCAGAGAAGAGUCUCUCCACAUUAGAACACCUCAAUAAACACCUGCAG